GACGAACGCUGGCGGCGUGCUUAACACAUGCAAGUCGAACGGAAAGGCCCUGCUUUUGUGGGGUGCUCGAGUGGCGAACGGGUGAGUAACACGUGAGUAACCUGCCCUUGACUUUGGGUUAACUUCAGGAAACUGGGGCUAAUACCGGAUAGGAGCUCCUGCUGCAUGGUGGGGGUGGGAAAGUUUCGGCGGUUGGGGAUGGACUCGCGGCUUAUCAGCUUGUUGGUGGGGUAGUGGCUUACCAAGGCUUUGACGGGUAGCCGGCCUGAGAGGGUGACCGGCCACAUUGGGACUGAGAUACGGCCCAGACUCCUACGGGAGGCAGCAGUGGGGAAUAUUGCACAAUGGGCGGAAGCCUGAUGCAGCAACGCCGCGUGCGGGAUGACGGCCUUCGGGUUGUAAACCGCUUUCGCCUGUGACGAAGCGUGAGUGACGGUAAUGGGUAAAGAAGCACCGGCUAACUACGUG
rnacentral:rRNA from 1 species